rnacentral:sRNA from 1 species
UAGCUUCUUCUUUUUUUCCCCGGAAUCAGCGUGGUUUCACUUUUGAUGAAUUAAAGGUUGAUUUGGAGGAACCAAUAUUGAAGGAUGAUGCUUCUUCAUCCAUCUCCAAAAGUGUUGGGCGGAAAGAUUCUUUCGAAGAAUAAAAAAGGGAAAAGAACCCAAAAAAGUCUCCAUUUAUAUUUUAUUUGUCCGUUUUAUCUCCUUUAAAAACCUUUGUUCGUUUAUUAAACCCUUUAACAAAAAA